GUGAGGAAUAUUGCGCAAUGGAGGCAACUCUGACGCAGCCAUGCCGCGUGCAGGAAGAAGGCGCUACGCGUUGUAAACUGCUUUUAACCGGGAAGAAACCCCAGGACGUGUCCUGGGUUGACGGUACCGGAGGAAUAAGCACCGGCUAACUUCGUGCCAGCAGCCGCGGUAAUACGAAGGGUGCAAGCGUUAUCCGGAUUCUUUGGGUUUAAAGGGUGCGUAGGCGGAGCGUUAAGUCAGUGGUGAAAUCCUGCAGCUUAACUGUAGACUUGCCAUUGAUACUGGCGCUCUUGAGUGCGCUUGAAGUGGGCGGAAUGUGCCGUGUAGCGGUGAAAUGCUUAGAUAUGGCACAGAACACCAAUUGCGAAGGCAUCUCACUAAGGCGAUACUGACGCUGAGGCACGAAAGCGUGGGGAUCGAACAGGAUUAGAUACCCGGGUAGUCC
rnacentral:rRNA from 1 species